UCGAGAAUCUUCCGCAAUGGGCGAAAGCCUGACGGAGCGACGCCGCGUGGAGGACGAAGGCCUUCGGGUUGUAAACUCCUGUCACGGAUUAAGAAUGUCGUGCGGUGAAUAGUCGUACGAUUGACGUAAGUCCGAGAGGAAGCACUGGCUAACUCUGUGCCAGCAGCCGCGGUAAUACAGAGAGUGCAAACGUUGUUCGGAAUUACUGGGCUUAAAGCGCACGUAGGCGGCGCCGCAAGUGUGGGGUGAAAGCCCACGGCUUACCCGUGGAAUUGCCUGGCAGACUGCGGUGCUAGAGUGUGGUAGGGGAGAGCGGAACUCCUGGUGGAGCGGUGAAAUGCGUAGAUAUCAGGAGGAACACCGGUGGCGAAGGCGGCUCUCUGGUCCACAACUGACGCUGAGGUGCGAAAGCUAGGGGAGCAAACGGGAUUAGAUACCCAAGUAGUCCCUGAGCGGGCUGGCAAGGCGCAU
rnacentral:rRNA from 1 species